rnacentral:rRNA from 1 species
UUAAGUUAUUAAGGGCGCACGGUGGAUGCCUUGGCACUAGAAGCCGAUGAAGGACGUUACUAACGACGAUAUGCUUUGGGGAGCUGUAAGUAAGCGUUGAUCCAGAGAUUUCCGAAUGGGGAAACCCAGCAUGAGUUAUGUCAUGUUAUCGAUAUGUGAAUACAUAGCAUAUCAGAAGGCAGACCCGGAGAACUGAAACAUCUUAGUACCCGGAGGAAGAGAAAGAAAAAUCGAUUCCCUGAGUAGCGGCGAGCGAAACGGGAAGAGCCCAAACCAACAAGCUUGCUUGUUGGGGUUGUAGGACACUCUAUACGGAGUUACAAAAGUAUAUAUUAGACGAAUCAUCUGGAAAGUUGAAUCAAAGAAGGUAAUAAUCCUGUAGUCGAAAAUAUAUACUCUCUUGAGUGGAUCCUGAGUACGACGGAGCACGUGAAAUUCCGUCGGAAUCUGGGAGGACCAUCUCCUAAGGCUAAAUACUCUCUAGUGACCGAUAGUGAACCAGUACCGUGAGGGAAAGGUGAAAAGUACCCCGGAAGGGGAGUGAAAGAGAACUUGAAACCGUGUGCUUACAAGUAGUCAGAGCCCGUUAAUGGGUGAUGGCGUGCCUUUUGUAGAAUGAACCGGCGAGUUACGAUUUGAUGCAAGGUUAAGCAGCUAAUGUGGAGCCGUAGCGAAAGCGAGUCUGAAUAGGGCGUUUAGUAUUUGGUCGUAGACCCGAAACCAGGUGAUCUACCCUUGGUCAGGUUGAAGUUCAGGUAACACUGAAUGGAGGACCGAACCGACUUACGUUGAAAAGUGAGCGGAUGAACUGAGGGUAGCGGAGAAAUUCCAAUCGAACUUGGAGAUAGCUGGUUCUCUCCGAAAUAGCUUUAGGGCUAGCCUCAAGUGAUGAUUAUUGGAGGUAGAGCACUGUUUGGACGAGGGGCCCUUCUCGGGUUACCGAAUUCAGACAAACUCCGAAUGCCAAUCAAUUUAACUUGGGAGUCAGAACAUGGGUGAUAAGGUCCGUGUUCGAAAGGGAAACAGCCCAGACCACCAGCUAAGGUCCCAAAAUAUAUGUUAAGUGGAAAAGGAUGUGGCGUUGCCCAGACAACUAGGAUGUUGGCUUAGAAGCAGCCAUCAUUUAAAGAGUGCGUAAUAGCUCACUAGUCGAGUGACACUGCGCCGAAAAUGUACCGGGGCUAAACAUAUUACCGAAGCUGUGGAUUGUCCGUAGGACAAUGGUAGGAGAGCGUUCUAAGGGCGUCGAAGCAUGAUCGCAAGGACAUGUGGAGCGCUUAGAAGUGAGAAUGCCGGUGUGAGUAGCGAAAGACGGGUGAGAAUCCCGUCCACCGAUUGACUAAGGUUUCCAGAGGAAGGCUCGUCCGCUCUGGGUUAGUCGGGUCCUAAGCUGAGGCCGACAGGCGUAGGCGAUGGAUAACAGGUUGAUAUUCCUGUACCACCUAGUAUCGUUUUAAUCGAUGGGGGACGCAGUAGGAUAGGCGAAGCGUGCUAUUGGAUUGCACGUCCAAGCAGUAAGACUGAGUGUUAGGCAAAUCCGGCACUCAUAAGGUCAAGCUGUGAUGGGGAGAGGAAAUUGUUUCCUCGAGUCGUUGAUUUCACACUGCCAAGAAAAGCCUCUAGAUAGAUAACAGGUGCCCGUACCGCAAACCGACACAGGUAGUCAAGAUGAGAAUUCUAAGGUGAGCGAGCGAACUCUCGUUAAGGAACUCGGCAAAAUGACCCCGUAACUUCGGGAGAAGGGGUGCUCUUUAGGGUUAACGCCCAGAAGAGCCGCAGUGAAUAGGCCCAAGCGACUGUUUAUCAAAAACACAGGUCUCUGCUAAACCGUAAGGUGAUGUAUAGGGGCUGACGCCUGCCCGGUGCUGGAAGGUUAAGAGGAGUAGUUAGCUUCUGCGAAGCUACGAAUCGAAGCCCCAGUAAACGGCGGCCGUAACUAUAACGGUCCUAAGGUAGCGAAAUUCCUUGUCGGGUAAGUUCCGACCCGCACGAAAGGCGUAACGAUUUGGGCACUGUCUCAACGAGAGACUCGGUGAAAUCAUAGUACCUGUGAAGAUGCAGGUUACCCGCGACAGGACGGAAAGACCCCGUGGAGCUUUACUGUAGCCUGAUAUUGAAAUUCGGCACAGCUUGUACAGGAUAGGUAGGAGCCUUUGAAACGUGAGCGCUAGCUUACGUGGAGGCAUUGGUGGGAUACUACCCUAGCUGUGUUGGCUUUCUAACCCGCACCACUUAUCGUGGUGGGAGACAGUGUCAGGUGGGCAGUUUGACUGGGGCGGUCGCCUCCUAAAAGGUAACGGAGGCGCUCAAAGGUUCCCUCAGAAUGGUUGGAAAUCAUUCAUAGAGUGUAAAGGCAUAAGGGAGCUUGACUGCGAGACUUACAAGUCGAGCAGGGUCGAAAGACGGACUUAGUGAUCCGGUGGUUCCGCAUGGAAGGGCCAUCGCUCAACGGAUAAAAGCUACCCCGGGGAUAACAGGCUUAUCUCCCCCAAGAGUUCACAUCGACGGGGAGGUUUGGCACCUCGAUGUCGGCUCAUCGCAUCCUGGGGCUGUAGUCGGUCCCAAGGGUUGGGCUGUUCGCCCAUUAAAGCGGUACGCGAGCUGGGUUCAGAACGUCGUGAGACAGUUCGGUCCCUAUCCGUCGUGGGCGUAGGAAAUUUGAGAGGAGCUGUCCUUAGUACGAGAGGACCGGGAUGGACAUACCUCUGGUGUACCAGUUGUCGUGCCAACGGCAUAGCUGGGUAGCUAUGUAUGGACGGGAUAAGUGCUGAAAGCAUCUAAGCAUGAAGCCCCCCUCAAGAUGAGAUUUCCCAACUUCGGUUAUAAGAUCCCUCAAAGAUGAUGAGGUUAAUAGGUUCGAGGUGGAAGCGUGGUGACACGUGGAGCUGACGAAUACUAAUCGAUCGAAGACUUAAUC